GUCAGGUGUGGUGGUGCAUGCCUGUAAUCCCAACUGCUUGGGAGGCUGAGGCAGGAGGAUCACAAGUUCAAGGCCAGCCUCAGCAAUUUAGCAAGGUCCUAAGCAACUCAGCAAGAUCCUGUCUCAA
rnacentral:sRNA from 1 species